rnacentral:sRNA from 1 species
AUGAGCUCAUCUGUCUCAGCCCCAUUUAUUUCUCCUGGGUGAUGAGAAGACCUGUGCUUCUCCGUUAAAAGGCACUAGGAAAGAAGGAGUUAAAGUGAAGGCAGGCUCGCUGGUUUGCUGAGAUCUGUCAGAGGCUGACUGGCUGGCUACAUAUCUGUCUCUGGAACAAUAGGUACCUGUAUUCUGCAUGGGCUGCUGGGCAGGCAGUACUAACACUCUGGAGAAGGUCUGCCUCUGUCUGAGCCUUCCUGGUGAGAUUCCCCAGUAACAGUCCUACUUUUCAGAGGAGAGAGAGAGAGAGAGAGAGAGAGAGAGAGAGAGAGAGAGAGAGAGAGAGAGAGAGUUUGAGGCUGUCUACUCUGUUGAUAGAGGACAAAGCUUUGAUCAUUUUUGUUCAGGCUUCACUUGGUGAGAGGUUUUAGGUUCUUAGUCUCAAGUCAGUAGUUGUGCUGCCUUCCCCCCCCCUCCCCUUUCUUUCAUAUUCUCUUUCUGCCGCCCUCCCUCUCUCAUUUCUCCUCAUAGGUUCAAUGCAGGCAGAUGAGUGCCACAGCUGUAACUGAGGCGUAGAAUAAUCAACACAUCGGAGCCAAUCCCCCUGACACCAAGAGGGGAAUCCGGCAGAGGUGACCGACCGCGAGGACAAGACCGUUCUUCUGACAAGUUUUAGGUAAGGGAACAUUUAUAUACAAUUCUUGCAUUUCUGAAUCUCGGUGACUGAGAGAGACACUUGUGAUAAAAAGAAAGGGAAGUCGUUGUAGGUAAAUAUUUUUGAGAGGGCAUCCUUCUUGUUGUCCGUUGCUUGCAGAACCUGUCAGUGUUUAUGCGGGGGCUUUGUGUUACUAGAAUCUUCAGAGGUGAGGUGUGAGCAGGACUGGAGGAAGGGUGAGCUGCUUUUUAUGUCUGUAUGGUGACAUUUACCAUGCUGUUUAAAUCUGUAUCUGUUAAAAAAAAAAAAGAAAGAAAGAAAAUAGAAUUUCUGUUUGACGAUAGUAACGUUUUGUGCAAGGCAGAGCAUAUGGCUGUGCAGAAUUCAAGUGGCGUUCUUUUAUUUUUAAUUUGUAAUUAUUUUUACAUUCAACUGUACUGAGGUCAGAGAGUUUUAAAAAUUAAUGAGAUUCCCUGUGGAGUUCAAAUAGUAAUAUCUACGUGAGCCUCCACAAAGAGAUAAGAUUAGGCCAGUAUAUAUGUAUUUUUUUCUUUCUUUCUUUCUUUUUUUUUUUUUUUUUUUGGCCAUGAUUUGGCUGUCUUACUUUGAAUACACGCCAUCUGAAGCAUAUGUAGGGUUCAAUAGUUUCUGGGAGUUGGUGUGAUUUGGAAGACUAGCCCUUAAUUUAUUGUUUAGUGACCAAGAGGCAUGGAGCCCCAGUUAGACUGCUGAGGAUGAACACUGUUAGGUGGGGACAUUCCUAAAACUUCACAGACUUUAUUGUCAUGACAAUGGAGCGAGUCUUAGACUUUCGAGGAAAGAGCAAAUGAUAAAUGAGGCAACGUGCUAAGAAGAAGAAGAAAAAGAAAAUCUGCGAAUGUGGCUUUAUUUUAAGUACUGUGUGAAAAUUCUAGGUAAAGACAGUUAUUUAGGAUCAAAGCUUGCUGGUCUGAACAAAGAGGCAAAGAUCCGCACAGGUGAAAAUUCUUUGCCACAAAAUGAAUCUAGAGCAUAGAUUAAGGGCAGGAAGUGAUUUGGUGAUUCACUAUUUUAUUUUAUUAUUAUUUUUUUAACCUUUAUUCUUGCCCCAUAAAGGUAGUUCACUGGGUUGAGUCCAGGCAUUUACAACUUUGAUUUCCCACAAUUUAAAAGCAUUGUUUGUGUGUCCGUGGUCUAAGACGCUGUUUAUAGGAGAGGCACUGAGAAGUAGUCUGAACAGAGGGUAAUCUGGGCUUCCAUUUACAAGAUCCAUUCAGGUCUUCCUGUGAUAUAUUGUUAUGUAAAUACUUUUCGGCCAGGGAGAGCUGGGCUAUGGAGAUUCAAUUUACUUUGAAAGUUGUUCAUUAUAGCAAGGAUGAAUGUUAUUUAUUUGAUGCGAUUCAAAGACUGGAAAUGACUUUUUCAUUGUGGUACUUUUUGUGAUGGGUCCAGGGUGAUCUAAUCUUUUUAAUUUUGGCUUUCACACCAGUGGAGAUGAAAAGAGAUCUGAACUCAUUUAUCGGUUGCUAGGUCUUUCUGGAAGCCCAAGUUCUGUUUGUGGUUGCUAUGGUCAGGCUGACCUCAAUCUCUGUGGUUUGAGGGACUUAAGCAGUCAUUUUUUUUCUUUUCUUUUCUUUUCUUUUUUUUUUUUAAUUGAGGAGCAUGUACCUUGAUUUAUGUCCAAAACUGUAGCUGAAUGUCUUUGUCUGCGGGUGAUAUAUGGUGCAGAACAAUUCAUCUGUUCUUACGAGUAAACACCGCUGUCCCACUAAAAAUAUGUUUUGUUCGGAGUUAAUGGUAUGGAACAAGGCAUUCUCCACAAAUAGCUAUCUUUUAUUGUGUUGGGGCCGCGGAAACGCUGAGCAAAGUGCAGGAAAUUGGCAUCAGUCCUCGCGUCUAUUAGCAUUUCAUUUGUGAGUCGCAUGAUAAGACCGGUAGGUGGACAGAGGGAGCCAGGAAGGGUUGUUUCGACAUCUUCACUUUCUCAACUGGGACCGCCUAGCCUGACCCGCAUUCGCCAGGACCCAGUAAGUCAGCGUUAGUUCCCCCUGACCCGGUGAGCAUCGUUUCGCCCAAGCGCUAAAGCACACCCAGGCGGACGUGCUGAGGCUCAGCGCUGGGGACCGGUAUUCUUAGGCUCCUUGAGGGAAAGUUGCUGGGUCCGAUCUCGGCACCACCCAGGACUGUAAUGUCUAUGCGCUACUGAAUGGUCCCCGGUCGCCUGCUUUCUAGACUCUUGUUAGAAAGGAGCCCGGGUGAAUCAGAGGCUAUGGAGAACGCAGCCCAAUUCAGCAGAUGAGCCGGAAUACAGUCCUGCUCCCUUAAAAACUGCUAAUUGAUGGAUGCUGCGGGGGAACAGACACCGCGAACGAGGGCAAAAUAGGAAUCAGGAGAGGCACGUAUUGCCGAUAGCACCACCGAUUUCCUUCUCAAAGCAGCUUGCACGGACUAUCCUCAGGAAAAUGAGAUCCAGGAGAAGUGACGCCCUCCUCGAACUGAAAGAUACUCAUGCUAAUGGUGUCACGGAAGAAGCGAUGUAUCGACAGCUCAGGAUGGCUGCAGGGGACAUAUUCAGACGUGGCCCAGAUUGUCUGCCCAUGGGGACUGAGAUACCUCUGAGAUUUAUAUCAGAUCUCCACAGUCUUUGUCGCUGUAUUUUGUUAGAAAGAAAGGCGAGGCUGUUUCUACAGGUGCCACAGAAAAAUCGAUGCCGAGUCACGGAUUAUUGGAUCCCACAGAACCAUGGAGACUUGGCGGUGAAAUUCUUCUAAAGCAUUCCAUCUGCGCAGGCAGAGGUGUUCCUGGUUUGGGAAGUAUAAAUCCCGCGGGAAGUCAACUGGAGAACAUUUUACGCGUCCGUCACUCAUCCUAUUAUGAGCCUGCUGCUCUUCCUUCUCUGGACAAGCCUAAACUUUAAGAUUUGCUGAACAAACCUUGUGUCAAAUUUGGACCACCUAGACAGUAUUCCACCCUGAUUGUAUCCCAUGUCACUAUUCUGUGCAAGGCCACCGACUAGAAGAGCACAGAAUUAUUAAAAAGAAAACAAAAAAAAAAACCAAAAAAAACACAGCUGAAAGUGAACGUCUUUGGAUUUCCCAUUUAAUGAGUUGGCAGCUAAAGGACAGGAGCAGCAAUAAGGCUGCCUGGCUACAUUUUCAUAGUGCCACCAACUGCGAGUUAAGCUGACAAACAUUUUGAGAGCUCGGCCCAUUUCAUUCACAGCAGGAUGGCAGGAGUUAACUAACACUGUAAAAAAAACCUAACUAAAAAUCGUGCCUUUACUGCACAUUUGCACAGAAUCUCAGGACUGAAAGUGUCGAAGUUCUGCUCGACAAGCGGGUGACUGAUUGUCCCUGCCAGCUGGCUAAUAUCAUAAUUAGCAAAGUUGCUACCACAUCUGCAAAGUUUAAUCGAAAAAUUUACCAGUGGUAUGAUGGCAUUGUCACCAUGAUCCCAAGGGAAUCGGAGUCGACUUCUGCUUCAGGAGGAACGGCAAGGCUGUAUAGCUGAGAUGAGAAAUUGUAAACUUGCUCAGCCAAAGGUUAUGCUUCGCAUCACCCACCAGGGAGGAUCAUCUCUCAUGAAAACUUUCAAAUUUGAUUUUGAAAAUUUAUUCAGAAAAAUUUAAGCCACGCUCUUUUUCAACACAGAAAAUAAUAUGCUCCAGAGAAUCCUCUAAUUCACAGAAAAUGGACUCGGAUAACAUUUGGGUUCUCAUACUACCACAGUUCUCUUGAGAAGGACAGCCAGGAGGCUAAUAAUGAAGGGGCCAGGGAAGGAGGCCAAUGCUACAAGGGUUAUCUCUCAACCUCAGAUGUUGGAUAAGUCAGGGAACAGCGUCGUUUCUGGAUGGCUUCAGACAGGCCGGACUGACUGUUUGGAAGAGAAAAACCUGCUUAUUCUUUCAAAGGUACAUGAAUGUUGUCCACACCUUCCCGUCUAAAGGUUAGAAUCUUGCCUUAGACAAAGGAUGCUCUUGGAGUCCCACCACACCUAAAACCACGCUUUGAAGGAUCUGCCAAGCUCACUUUUAAUCAUGAGAAAGAAAUUACCCACAUGGAGACAGCAGAAAAUGAGAAAGGAGAGAUCGUGCUGCGAAUAAUUCCAGCGAGUGCCAAGGGGCUAGUUGAGGAAUGGCUUCAUGAGGUGAAUAUCUUAGCUUGUACUUAGAAUUUGGUUAGCGUAUAAUCAGUUUCUCUUUUAGGAGCGAAUACAAUCCUAAGUGUAUUUCCCAUCUGAGCACCGCUCAGGGCAUUUAUCAGGAUGUUGACAUAUUUAAUAUCGGCCUCGUCCUCGCCGUUAUUUAUGAUGACUAAUUUUACACUUAUAAAUAUGCAGAAAUCGAUGUAGGUGGAAAGGCUCUCUGAGCCCCAUGUCUGUCGCUAGCCGUCUGUCUUCAUGUGCAGCGCUCUGCUAGUGUGGCCUGUCCAGUAAUGUGUGUCUCUGUGUAUGUGCGUGCUCUUGUUGUCUCCUCUCCGCUGUGAAUGUGCAUUGGGAGAAUUAGCCUUAUGACAGGAUAUCAAAAGAUGGGCCCAAGACUUUCAUUUUUGGAAUGGAAAGAAAAAAUAAUGCGUAACACUUUGUAUCACAUCAGUUUCAAUUCUUCCUGAGAGGGAGGGGGCCAAUCAGGUAUGAGUCAUCACAGGGCAAAGCAACCAGGAUUCAAAUUGAACAUCACCUUCAGUGUCAAAUUAGUUGAAAGUCCCCCUUUUCCUUUACGGUGACUGGCUGAAACCCCUGCCAUUAUGUCUGUUUGUUUUAAAAGGGUGGGGGGAGCUGCCUGAGUUCAUCCACAGUGCCAUGUAGCUUUUCUUUGUUUCAUUUUUCUAAGGAUCAGAUCCAAGAAAAAUAAUAGGUUAGUAAUUCAAGACCAUCACUACUUACACGGUUCUCUCCCGGGCAUGUCAUUUCUUUGGGUGCCAAGUUUCAUCAAGAUCACUAAGUAAACAAAUGAGCGAUAACUUUUUUGCUCCUUUUUUCUUUUAAUUUGACUAGGGAGUAAGAACUGGGAAAGUCAAGUGUCUUUAUGAGUCACAGAGGAAGAAUGCAGGAACCCCCACCCCCACCCCCCAACUUCUGGUCUCAGACUUUGAUUUCCCACACAACCAAGUCACGGGAUCGCCAUGCCAACCUUAAGCAAUUUUGGCUCCCAGCAAUCCUGUGCUGGGGAAUCUUUCAAACUACCCUUCAAUCCGGGUCCAAAGGGCCACAGCACAGACUAGUAGAAAGAGUGCAUUAUCUGAGAAAGCACCAGGCUGCUUUCCCAUUGGUAUAUGUGUUUGGUGCCACGGUUAAGCACCGCUGGGGUCUAAUACGUGGAUGACCCCCUUUAUAGAGUGUGGGGGCUUCUGAGGAAAAGGCAAGCAUUGACUAAGAAAAAGAGUCAUUCUUCCAUGUGUUUUCAUAAAAGGACAAGGCAGGCCUCUUUGAGAGCUUCUGAAAGAGAAGAGGCAUGGGAGGAGAUGAGCCAGCUGGGGGUGGGUUGUUUUGGGGAGGGGAGCCAGCUGGGGAAUGGAGAGAGAGAGAGAGAGGCUGGGGAGAUAGCCAGCUGGGAGAAGAGGUAGGAUAAAGCCAAGGCACAAAGGUACAGGCAGAUGAGCAGCUGUGUUUAUUUGAAUACAUAUCAUUUAACCCUCACCUAAAAACAAAUUGGAGAGGUUUGGGAGUGCAUUAAUCUGGACCCAAUUAGCAUGUCUUUCCCCUUCAAAAGGUGCAACCUGAGAUUAAUGAAUAUCAACCAGAGUUUCAGAAGCAGCACUUAAAUCAUUUGCAUGUUUGUGCAUGAUAAUUGGAUUUAUGUAUGCACUUCCUUUCAUUUAACUAUUUCCAGUCUCCUUAUGAGUGAGUCAUACAACCCAAAACUUCAUUCGAGUGAUUUCUAGGUAGAAAUAGCUUACCUAGCAUUCUACCCCUAAGGGGGGAAAAACUCAAGUGGUUGUACAUUUUGAAUUUGAAUACCACAUUUCUUUCUUUUAUUAUUAUUUUUUUUAACAUAGAGGGCAGUUGAUAAUAGUGUGGAAUGCUGCUGCUUCUGGAGUUGGUAAAUAGGCACCACAGAUUUAUCUUUAAAAGGCUAGGAAAAUAAGGAAAUUUCCAACAUCAAGCUUUCAUGGCUUCCGUGUGGCCACUAGUAAGAGAUUUUAUAAUGCUAGGAACGAGGCCACUUGAAUGCCGCAUGGGGAAUGUUCUUGGUGUCUGGACCUGUGGCAAUUAGAUCACAGAGACAUCAGCAUCCAGGAUGGUUUAUGGCAUAGUUAGAAAUGUGUUUCUAUAGAAAGAGAUGGGAAUGCGGUCAACAUCUGUGAACUGCUGUGGACAGGCAAGGAGCAUUGUGAACCCUUGAUGCUGUGGGUUUGGUCCUUCUCAUUUCCUCCCUCCCUCCCUUCCUUCCUUCCUCCCUCCCUCUCUCCC